UUUUAAUUCUUUUUCUUUUAUUAUUUUAUAUUUAUUUUUCUCUACAGGUUCGUAGUAAUUUAAUUUUUUAUCCAAAAAAUCCCAAAAUAAUUUCUAAAAUUCUCUUUUAUUUUUCUUCAUCUAAUUUUUAUUUUUCCAUAUUUUAUUUCACCGGUUUUCUAUUUUUAUGAAUUUCCUCUUUUCUCCUUUAUUUUAAUUGGUUUAAAAACACUUUUCUGCAUAUUUUAAUUCUGAAAAUUUUAUUAUAUGUUUCUCAUUUUAUUU
rnacentral:lncRNA from 1 species